CGCCGGCCCUGAGCGUCCGUGGAAAAGAUGGUGACUUCAGGAGUAAGAACUAGGCUUUCACCUUAAAUCAAGGAGCUUGCUGAAAGAAGAUCCCAAGAGUGACUCUUCACAGGUACCAGACCUGGGAGACACCUCAGAAUGUUCCAGAGCCUUAGGCCAGCACUGGGGAGCCUCCACACGGGAGGCCAAGCUGCUGCCCUGCCCAAGAGAAGAGUUGCAAGCAGGAGAGGGAAGAAGCAGCCACGGCGGUGACAGAAGUGACCAGAACUCUAGGCCAGACUUCAAGGAAGCUCUUCGAGGAAGAACCACAUCCUGUCCAUGCUGUUCUCCACAGCCCCUCUGAGCACGGCGGGACUUGGCCUGGAGACCGGGUGCAGCUGUGGCCACUGCAGGCAAAGCCCACGGACUUGUGGUUCAGCGCGGUCAUGGGUGGAGAUGCCGUGACCCAAGAUGUGGCCUGCCUUCUGGGGACGGUUGUCGCCGCACUCUUCCAGGUCACGCAGGAGGAAGGUGAUCUCGUCUCUGUUGCCAGCGCUCGCCCCCGGUACCUGCUCACGCCGGGCGGGCCGAGCAGAUUCUCCCUGUGGCCCACCACGCCCGGCGCUCGAGUAACUUCGGGGGCGGGGGAGGCGGGGAGCAGGCGAGCGAUCGGGAUUGUUGCGGAACUGGGCCAUGCGGUGUCCUGGUUAGGUCUGGCUGGCGUAGGGGUCACCCUCAGCAGGAACCCGCAGCUCUUUGAGGGCCCGGCCUGCGUCCAAAGCCCUUCUCCAUACACGGUGCCUGGCUGAGCGCCCGGCUGGAGCAGGGGCGUGCUCCCCUAGUUACCUGUGGCCAGGGAGUUCGCGGAGGGCCCAAGGAGAACAGUUGCUAGUGACUGUCCUCCAGUGUCCUCCUGCGCCCCCCACCCCCCAGGGAGUGCGUCCUGCCUUUGCUGUAUGGUGAAGUCCUGGGUCCUCAGCACAAAACAGACGUUGCCCCCUUGUGUUUGUGAGCUGCGGACUCCCUGUCUCCUUGGCAGUGGGAAGCGAUCCUGUGUAUAUAUUCAGGGUUUUACAGAGCCUCAGAGCUCUCUGCUGCUUUCUUUUAAAGCUGCUGAGUCAAAAAUGUUCUAGGCCGGAUAGUAGGUGCUGGUCCCGAGGGCUGGUGUUGCCCAUAGAACCACAUCUCCUGGGAGCCCGGGGCUGCUUGCGAACAGCCGAACCUGGAAGCUGGUGGAGAUGUGAGCAGGUCACCAACGGUUAAAGAGAGAAAGGGAGGGCCCUUGCCAGCUUCCUCUUUGUCUGCUUGCCAGGGGCUUUCCUGCUCACCCCAGUGUCUCUGGGCAGGAGCACAGCUGGCCACCAGGUGUGCGUGCUCGGGCUUUGGAAGUUUGUGGCUGGAGUGUCACAGUGGGUCACCAGAAUGCUCUCUCACAUGAUUCCCCUAGUCGACCACCCCUAGUCGAACAGAAAUGAACGCACACAGGUAGAGAUCGAAAGAGAUGAUCCCGUGCGGGCCAGAGGGGGAGCAGGACGCUGGAGGGGCCGGCGGCUCUCAGCUGGGCACUCCUGGGGAACUGGGGUGGU